rnacentral:sRNA from 1 species
GGUUUUAACCCAGUAUCUCAAGGUACUAAGGGCUUCCGGCCUUCUGCUUCGGCGGUUGUGUCGAAACCACAAUUUUUGGCUAGUCUGCGCGGGGUAUCCGUGCGGACGAC